rnacentral:rRNA from 1 species
CGAGCGAGCUUGCCUAGAUGAUUUUAGUGCUUGCACUAAAUGAAACUAGAUACAAGCGAGCGGCGGACGGGUGAGUAACACGUGGGUAACCUGCCCAAGAGACUGGGAUAACACCUGGAAACAGAUGCUAAUACCGGAUAACAACACUAGACGCAUGUCUAGAGUUUGAAAGAUGGUUCUGCUAUCACUCUUGGAUGGACCUGCGGUGCAUUAGCUAGUUGGUAAGGUAACGGCUUACCAAGGCAAUGAUGCAUAGCCGAGUUGAGAGACUGAUCGGCCACAUUGGGACUGAGACACGGCCCAAACUCCUACGGGAGGCAGCAGUAGGGAAUCUUCCACAAUGGACGAAAGUCUGAUGGAGCAACGCCGCGUGAGUGAAGAAGGGUUUCGGCUCGUAAAGCUCUGUUGGUAGUGAAGAAAGAUAGAGGUAGUAACUGGCCUUUAUUUGACGGUAAUUACUUAGAAAGUCACGGCUAACUACGUGCCAGCAGCCGCGGUAAUACGUAGGUGGCAAGCGUUGUCCGGAUUUAUUGGGCGUAAAGCGAGUGCAGGCGGUUCAAUAAGUCUGAUGUGAAAGCCUUCGGCUCAACCGGAGAAUUGCAUCAGAAACUGUUGAACUUGAGUGCAGAAGAGGAGAGUGGAACUCCAUGUGUAGCGGUGGAAUGCGUAGAUAUAUGGAAGAACACCAGUGGCGAAGGCGGCUCUCUGGUCUGCAACUGACGCUGAGGCUCGAAAGCAUGG